UGGACGUCUCCUUUAAUUUAUAACCCAGGGGUGCUGGGUUAGCAACGCGGACCCGAGGGAGCAUGCACAUCACCAAUGCGAGAAGCCGCCAUUUUCUCAGCGUCUGCAGAUGGAAGCGAGUGAAGGACGAUUUUCGAACUCAAACCAACUUUGGAGUUAACAACACAGAAGCCUGUGUGAGAGGAGGCGAUCUUUUCAGCUUCUUCAGAAGAGAGGGAAAGAUGGUAUAA